rnacentral:rRNA from 1 species
UACGUAGGGUGCGAGCGUUAAUCGGAAUUACUGGGCGUAAAGCGUGCGCAGGCGGUUUCUUAAGUCAGAUGUGAAAGCCCCGGGCUUAACCUGGGAACUGCGUUUGAAACUGGGAGCCUUGAGUGUGGCAGAGGGGGGUGGAAUUCCACGUGUAGCAGUGAAAUGCGUAGAUAUGUGGAGGAACACCGAUGGCGAAGGCAGCCCCCUGGGUUAACACUGACGCUCAUGCACGAAAGCGUGGGGAGCAAACAGG